GCUGCAGCUUUUAAACAGUUAUUUAAAGUACCUUUAUAGCUCAUGUAGUCGUGGUUUUCCAACAGAAGUUGUUUUAGCGGACUUUCACCAAACAGUGCUCAAGAAGUAUGUAAAGCCUAACGUCAGGGAGGAGUAGCUGAAGAGGCUGGUUAAGGAUGGGCGAUGUUCCAAAACAACAGUGUUAAAGAGAGAAAUACAAAGUAGAUGAGAGAGAGCUGGAGCAUGGCGUUCACCAGUCAGGAACACGUACAAGGGUGAUAUCACUGUUGUGCACACCCACCCCAUCCUGAGCUGACAUUUUCUUAUGCAACAAAAUCUGGUUUUGUGCACCAAGGAAUGGAGCAGCAGAUGGAAUUAUGGGAGAAGCUUAUUCAAUACUGGAGAAUGCUAGUUGCCUAGGAGACCAGUUGACUGACAGCUGCCUUCUUCGAGAGCUCUCCCUGGGCUGUGUUAGAGUUGGGAAGAUUUACUAUCAGAUGCUCUGCUACAGAUCCAUCAGUGCAUCUUGAAACCCACCUUUAUUUCUAAAAAAACAUACUGUUUCACUUGUUUUUGCUGUUCUUAUUUUUUCCUGGC